GAUGAAGAACGUAGCGAAAUGCGAUAAGUAGUGUGAAUUGCAGAAUUCAGUGAAUCAUCGAAUCUUUGAACGCACAUUGCGCCCCUUGGUAUUCCAAAGGGCAUGCCUGUUCGAGCGUCAUUUGUACCCUCAAGCUUUGCUUGGUGUUGGGCGUCUUGUCUCUAGCUUUGCUGGAGACUCGCCUUAAAGUAAUUGGCAGCCGGCCUACUGGUUUCGGAGCGCAGCACAAGUCGCACUCUCUAUCAGCAAAGGUCUAGCAUCCAUUAAGCCUUUUUUUCAACUUUUGACCUCGGAUCAGGUAGGGAUACCCGCUGAACUUAAGCAUAUCAUAAGCGGAGGA
rnacentral:misc_RNA from 1 species